GCGGAUUUAGCUCAGUUGGGAGAGCGCCAGACUGAAGUCAACUUCGGUCGCUGUAAUCUGGAGGUCCUGUGUUCGAUCCACAGAAUUCGCA
rfam:Lachancea mirantina genome assembly, chromosome: H